GAACGCACAUUGCGCCCGCCAGUAUUCUGGCGGGCAUGCCUGUUCGAGCGUCAUUUCAACCCUCAAGCACAGCUUGGUGUUGGGACUCGCGUUAAUUCGCGUUCCUCAAAUUGAUUGGCGGUCACGUCGAGCUUCCAUAGCGUAGUAGUAAAACCCUCGUUACUGGUAAUCGUCGCGGCCACGCCGUUAAACCCCAACUUCUGAAUGUUGACCUCGGAUCAGGUAGGAAUACCCGCUGAACUUAAGCAUAUCAAUAAGCGGAGGAAAAGAAACCAACAGGGAUUGCCCUAGUAACGGCGAGUGAAGCGGCAACAGCUCAAAUUUGAAAUCUGGCUCUCGGGCCCGAGUUGUAAUUUGUAGAGGAUACUUUUGAUGCGGUGCCUUCCGAGUUCCCUGGAACGGGACGCCAUAGAGGGUGAGAGCCCCGUCUGGUUGGAUGCCAAAUCUCUGUAAAGUUCCUUCAACGAGUCGAGUAGUUUGGGAAUGCUGCUCUAAAUGGGAGGUAUAUGUCUUCUAAAGCUAAAUACCGGCCAGAGACCGAUAGCGCACAAGUAGAGUGAUCGAAAGAUGAAAAGCACUUUGAAAAGAGAGUUAAAAAGUACGUGAAAUUGUUGAAAGGGAAGCGUUUAUGACCAGACUUGGGCUUGGUUAAUCAUCUGGGGUUCUCCCCAGUGCACUUUUCCAGUCCAGGCCAGCAUCAGUUUUCCCCGGGGGAUAAAGACGGCGGGAAUGUGGCUCUCUUCGGGGAGUGUUAUAGCCCACCGUGUAAUACCCUGGGGGGGACUGAGGUUCGCGCAUCUGCAAG
rnacentral:rRNA from 1 species